ACUUAUUUAUGUAUACAUUUUGAUUUCAUCUGAAAAAUUGAGGCAAAGCACUGCGAGACUGAAGUGCUAAACACCGACACCAACCGACAGUCGACAGUCUUCUUUUUGACUUCGCAUGUGCAGUUUACAAAACUUUAUCGCAGCCAAACAGAUAAAAGAAGAUGUAUUCCAGAUUAUGCCAAGCAGGUGUUACAACAGUAGGAGCAUGUGUUGGAGCAGCUUUAUCCGUUUGGGCGCUUGAACGAAGAAGUCCAGUUAUCAAGGUUGACAAUGCUGCAGUUGUCCCACCAAAACGCAAACGCACACUUCCACCACGUAGUGAACAAAUCAAAUCAAUUCAAAGUGGUGAAGAAUACGAUGUACUUAUUAUUGGUGGAGGUGCAACUGGAGCUGGAUGUGCACUAGAUUCUGUGACGAGAGGUUUGAAAACUGCACUUGUUGAGGCGGACGAUUUUGCGAGUGGUACUUCAUCCAGAUCAACGAAACUUAUCCAUGGAGGUGUUAGAUAUUUACAAAAAGCUAUCCUUGGAUUAGAUUACGAACAGUAUCGAAUGGUGAAAGAAGCCUUGGCAGAGAGAGCGUCUAUGCUAGAAUCCGCUCCUCAUUUGGCUCAUCCACUUCCUAUUAUGCUUCCAGUUUACCAAUGGUGGCAGGUUCCAUAUUUCUGGGUUGGAAUAAAAGCUUACGAUUUUGUUGCUGGUGACAGAAACGUUAAAAGCUCAUAUUAUCUUUCCAAAAAAGAUGCCUUGGAACUUUUCCCCAUGUUGAAAAAAGAUAAAUUAUGUGGAGCUAUUGUUUAUUAUGAUGGUCAGCAAGAUGAUGCAAGAAUGGCUCUUGCUGUAGCUCUUACAGCUGCUCGACAUGGUGCAGUCGUUUGUAACCAUGUCGAAGUAUUAAAACUUCUAAAACAACCUGAUGCUAGCGGAAAUCAGGUUUUAUGCGGUGCCGAACUCAUCGAUCACAUAUCAGGCAAGAAAUUCACCGUUAAAGCCAAAUGCAUCAUCAAUGCAACUGGUCCAUUUACCGAUUCCAUUCGUAAAAUGGAUGACCCCACUGUCAAGACCAUAUGUUGCCCAAGUUCAGGAGUACACAUUGUACUCCCUGGCUAUUACAGUCCCGACCAGAUGGGACUGUUAGAUCCAAGUACCUCAGAUGGUAGAGUUAUUUUCUUCCUACCAUGGCAAAGACAAACAAUUGCCGGAACAACAGAUUUACCUUGCGAAAUUACGCACAAUCCCAGUCCCACCGAAGACGAAAUUCAAUUUAUUUUAAGAGAAAUCAAAAAUUAUCUUAACGCUGAUGUUGAAGUUAGGCGAGGUGAUGUCCUCUCAGCUUGGAGUGGAAUUCGUCCACUAGUUUCAGAUCCAAACAAGGAAGAUACUCAAUCACUGGCUAGAAAUCAUAUUGUACACGUAAGCCCCUCAAAGCUGGUGACCAUUGCUGGUGGCAAAUGGACAACAUACAGAGCAAUGGCAGAGCAUACACUUGAUGCAGCUAUCAAAGCAUGUAACUUAAAACCGGAAAGAGCUGAAGCUGUUACAUCGUACUUAAAAAUUGAGGGUGGACAAGGUUGGACACCAACCAUGUACAUUCGGUUGGUGCAAGAUUUUGGCUUGGAAUGUGAAGUUGCCCAACAUUUGGCCAAAUCUUAUGGUGAUCGAGCCUUUGCUGUUUCAAAGAUGGCUUCGUUGACUGGCAAAAGAUGGCCUAUUAUUGGUAACAAAAUUCAUCCUGAAUUCCCCUACAUUGAUGCCGAAAUCCGUUAUGGUAUUCGUGAAUACGCUUGCAAUGCUGUGGACAUGAUUGCUAGGAGACUUCGUUUGGCCUUUUUGAAUGUUCAAGCUGCCCAAGAAGCUUUACCUGUUAUUAUUGACAUUAUGGCUGAGGAACUUAAAUGGUCAAAGGACCAAAAACAAGCUGAAAUGAAACGAGCUGUCGAUUUUCUUGCAAAUGAAAUGGGACAACAUGUUAACAGACAAUCAAAGGAUAAGAUCCAAAUUAAGCUUUCCGAUGAAGAACAGAAGUUGUACGUUAAGCGUUUCAAGUUGAUUGACAAAGAUAACAAGGGAUACGUUUCCAUCACAGAUAUUCGUCGUGCUAUGAAGAGUUUCGGAGAAGCUGAAGUAUCAGGAGAACAAUUGCAUGAAAUUCUUCGCGAAAUCGACACAAAUAUGAAUGGACAAGUUGAACUUGAUGAAUACUUACAGAUGAUGUCUGCUAUCAAAACCGGAAAUGUGGCGUACUCAAGAUUUGCAAGAAUGGCCGAACUGGAGGAACAAAAACACGAAGCCGAUAACCUCAAAGGCUUUUAUAAGUAACAGCGGGCGUUAAAAUUGCUUUAUAUUUUUCAUCUUGCUGCGUGUAAUCUUCUCAACUCCACUUCGAAUCACACUUCGAAUCACAAUAAAUAUUUUUCUCCUAUUUAGGCGGAAGCAGCUGCUAGAUACUUAAAACCGGCGAGUCCUAAAGUUUAAAUGACCAAACUAACAUAUGUCUACAUAUGUGAUGUAAAUAACAUGAUCUACCUGCCGUAUAACCUUUGUAUAACCAACAAUUUUAUUGAAGUAAUAAUUAUUAUUCCCCUUAUUAUUUUAUUAUAAUUUUAUUUGUAAAUUAUGUUAUUUUGUUUCUCCUUAACUGUACCUAAUUAACAUUUUUAUUUUUUGUUCUAUUGUGUA